CAGUCGCCGCGGGAAUACGUAGGGUGCAAGCGUUGUCCGGAAUUAUUGGGCGUAAAGAGCUCGUAGGCGGUUUGUCGCGUCUGCUGUGAAAUCCCGAGGCUCAACCUCGGGCUUGCAGUGGGUACGGGCAGACUAGAGUGCGGUAGGGGAGAUUGGAAUUCCUGGUGUAGCGGUGGAAUGCGCAGAUAUCAGGAGGAACACCGAUGGCGAAGGCAGAUCUCUGGGCCGUAACUGACGCUGAGGAGCGAAAGCGUGGGGAGCGAACAGGAUUAGAUACCCCCGUAGUCCCUGUCUCUUAUAA
rnacentral:rRNA from 1 species